GUCACGGGAACGUUAGAGGAAUCAUAUUGCUGCCCCACUUCCGCCCAUCGCCCGCCCCGCUGGCUUGCGACAAGUGAAUCCUGCGUUGACCCGGUCCUUUCGGUUCCGGAUUCCUCAGCCCCCAGCCCCCCGGGGCCGUCGGGAUCGGGUCUGUUCGCAGGGGAGCUUUCUCCCGCACUGGGCCAACGAGAGUUGGUCCUUUU
rnacentral:sRNA from 1 species